rnacentral:rRNA from 1 species
UCGAGAAUCUUUCGCAAUGGGGGAAACCCUGACGAAGCGACGCCGCGUGCAGGAUGAAGGUCUUCGGAUUGUAAACUGCUGUCGGCUGGGAAGAAAAAGCGGAUGACUAACAGCCAUUCGCCUUGACGGUACCAGCAAAGGAAGCCACGGCUAACUCUGUGCCAGCAGCCGCGGUAAUACAGAGGUGGCAAGCGUUGUUCGGAUUUAUUGGGCGUAAAGGGUCCGUAGGCGGCCUGAAAAGUCGGAUGUGAAAGCCCACAGCUUAACUGUGGAAUGGCAUUCGAAACUCUUAGGCUCGAGUGUGAAAGGGGUAAAGGGAAUUCCCGGUGUAAGGGUGAAAUCUGCAGAGAUCGGGAAGAACACCAGUCGCGAAGGCGCUUUACUGGUUCACAACUGACGCUGAGGGACGAAAGCUAGGGGAGCAAACGGG